UAAUACGAAGGGGGCUAGCGUUGUUCGGAAUUACUGGGCGUAAAGGGCGUGUAGGCGGUCCGCUAAGUCAGGUGUGAAAGGCCUGGGCUCAACCCAGGAAAUGCGCCUGAGACUGACGGACUUGAGUCCGGGAGAGGAUGGUGGAACUCCCAGUGUAGAGGUGAAAUUCGUAGAUAUUGGGAAGAACACCCGUGGCGAAGGCGGCCAUCUGGACCGGUACUGACGCUAAUGCGCGACAGCGUGGGGAGCAAACAGGAUUAGAUACCCUGGUAGUCCACGCCGUAAACGAUGAGUGCUAGACGUUGGGAAGCCUAGCUUUUCAGUGUCGCAGCUAACGCAUUAAGCACUCCGCCUGGGGAGUACGGCCGCAAGGUUG
rnacentral:rRNA from 1 species